rnacentral:rRNA from 1 species
AUUGAACGCUGGCGGCAUGCCUUACACAUGCAAGUCGAACGGCAGCACGGGAGCAAUCCUGGUGGCGAGUGGCGAACGGGUGAGUAAUAUAUCGGAACGUGCCCAGUCGUGGGGGAUAACGUAGCGAAAGCUACGCUAAUACCGCAUACGAUCUAUGGAUGAAAGCGGGGGAUCGCAAGACCUCGCGCGAUUGGAGCGGCCGAUAUCAGAUUAGCUAGUUGGUGAGGUAAAGGCUCACCAAGGCGACGAUCUGUAGCGGGUCUGAGAGGAUGAUCGCCACACUGGAACUGAGACACGGUCCAGACUCCUACGGGAGGCAGCAGUGGGGAAUUUUGGACAAUGGGCGCAAGCCUGAUCCAGCCAUGCCGCGUGAGUGAAGAAGGCCUCGGUUGUAAGGUACGUAC